rnacentral:rRNA from 1 species
GCUUACGGCCAUAUCAGCCUGGGUACGCCCGAUCUCGUCUGAUCUCGGAAGCUAAGCAGGGUCGGGCCUGGUUAGUACUUGGAUGGGAGACCGCCUGGGAAUUCCAGGUGCAGUAAGAA